GAUUAACGCUAGCGGCAGGCCUAAUACAUGCAAGUCGAACGGUAACAUGGGUAGCAAUAUCUGAUGACGAGUGGCGCACGGGUGCGUAACGCGUAUGUAAUCUACCUCUAACUGGGGGAUAGCCUUCCGAAAGGAAGAUUAAUACCGCAUAAUAUAAUGAAGAGGCAUCUUUUGUUAUCAAAACUCUGGUGGUUAGAGAUGAACAUGCGUGACAUUAGCUAGUUGGUGAAGUAAUAGCUCACCAAGGCUACGAUGUCUAGGGGGUCUGAGAGGAUGAUCCCCCACACUGGUACUGAGACACGGACCAGACUCCUACGGGAGGCAGCAGUAAGGAAUAUUGGACAAUGGGGGCAACCCUGAUCCAGCCAUGCCGCGUGAAGGAUUAAGGCCCUAUGGGUUGUAAACUUCUUUUAUAAGGGAAAAAACCUCUCUACGUGUAGAGAGUUGAUGGUACUUUAUGAAUAAGGGGUCGGCUAACUUCGUGCCAGCAGCCGCGGUAAU
rnacentral:rRNA from 1 species